GACGAACGCUGGCGGCGUGCCUAAUACAUGCAAGUAGAACGCUGAAGGAGGAGCUUGCUUCUCUGGAUGAGUUGCGAACGGGUGAGUAACGCGUAGGUAACCUGCCUGGUAGCGGGGGAUAACUAUUGGAAACGAUAGCUAAUACCGCAUAAUAGCAGUUGUUGCAUGACAACUGUUUGAAAGGUGCAAUUGCACCACUACCAGAUGGACCUGCGUUGUAUUAGCUAGUUGGUGGGGUAACGGCUCACCAAGGCGACGAUACAUAGCCGACCUGAGAGGGUGAUCGGCCACACUGGGACUGAGACACGGCCCAGACUCCUACGGGAGGCAGCAGUAGGGAAUCUUCGGCAAUGGACGGAAGUCUGACCGAGCAACGCCGCGUGAGUGAAGAAGGUUUUCGGAUCGUAAAGCUCUGUUGUAAGAGAAGAACGAGUGUGAGAGUGGAAAGUUCACACUGUGACGGGAUCUUACCAGAAAGGGACGGCUAACUACGU
rnacentral:rRNA from 1 species